rnacentral:rRNA from 1 species
GACAGAGGGUGCAAACGUUGUCCGGAUUUAUUGGGCGUAAAGAGCUCGUAGGCGGUUCCGUAAGUCAGAUGUGAAAACUCAGGGCUCAACCCGGAGACGCCAUCUGAUACUGCGGUGACUGGAGUCUGGUAGGGGAACACGGAAUUCCUGGUGUAGCGGUGAAAUGCGCAGAUAUCAGGAGGAACACCGAUGGCGAAGGCAGUGUUCUGGGCCAGUACUGACGCUGAGGAGCGAAAGCGUGGGGAGCAAACAGG